UUACUUACAAUAAACAAUUACUUACGUUAAUAUAUAAAGUAAAAAUAUUA
rnacentral:tRNA from 1 species